rnacentral:lncRNA from 13 species
AAAAAGGAUCAAUCAAACUUCUAAUCCUAAAUUCCACAUUUGCAUGAAGAACUCUGGGGAGCAUCAUCCACUUUCAAUAGCAGGAGGAAGGUAAAAGAAAAUCAAGGACUCAGAAAAAUCCCUUCUAUUGGUUCCAGGACAUUUUAUUUUAGCUUCAGAUAGUUGAGGUAAAAUAUUUCCGUGAUUUAAAAAGAAUGUGUUUUAUUGGAAAACCUCUGUUUAAUUCAAUGAUCAUCUUUUGCUGGAGCAGGUGAGAAAGCACAGCGCCAGUGUGUUAGGCAGACACACAGAUCAGUGACCUCGGGCC